GGAGUUAGCGACAGGGAGGGAUGCGCGCCUGGGUGUAGUUGUGGGGGAGGAAGUGGCUAGCUCAGGGCUUCAGGGGACAGACAGGGAGAGAUGACUGAGUUAGAUGAGACGAGGGGGCGGGCUGGGGGUGCGAGAAGGAAGCUUGGCAAGGAGACUAGGUCUAGGGGGACCACAGUGGGGCAGGCUGCAUGGAAAAUAUCCGCAGGGUCCCCCAGGCAGAACAGCCACGCUCCAGGCCAGGCUGUCCCUACUGCCUGGUGGAGGGGGAACUUGACCUCUGGGAGGGCGCCGCUCUUGCAUAGCUGAGCGAGCCCGGGUGCGCUGGUCUGUGUGGAAGGAGGAAGGCAGGGAGAGGUAGAAGGGGUGGAGGAGUCAGGAGGAAUAGGCCGCAGCAGCCCUGGAAAUGAUCAGGAAGGCAGGCAGUGGGUGCAGGGCUGCAGGAGGGCCGGGAGGGCUAAUCUUCAACUUGUCCAUGCCAGCAGCCCCUUUUUUUCCAGACCAAGGGCUGUGAACCCGCCUGGGGAUGAGGCCUGGUCUUGUGGAACUGAACUUAGCUCGACGGGGCUGACCGCUCUGGCCCAGGGUGGUAUGUAAUUUUCGCUCGGCCUGGGACGGGGCCCAGGCCGGGCCCAGCCUGGUGGAGCGUCCAGGUCUGGGUGCGAAGCCAGGCCCCUGGGCGGAGGUGAGGGGUGGUCUGAGGAGUGAUGUGGAGUUAAGGCGCCAUCCUCACCGGUGACUGGUGCGGCACCUAGCAUGUUUGACAGGCGGGGACUGCGAGGCACGCUGCUCGGGUGUUGGGGACAACAUUGACCAACGCUUUAUUUUCCAGGUGGCAGUGCUCCUUUUGGACUUUUCUCUAGGUUUGGCGCUAAACUCUUCUUGUGAGCUCACUCCACCCCUUCUUCCUCCCUUUAACUUAUCCAUUCACUUAAAACAUUACCUGGUCAUCUGGUAAGCCCGGGACAGUAAGCCGAGUGGCUGUUGGAGUCGGUAUUGUUGGUAAUGGUGGAGGAAGAGAGGCCUUCCCGCUGAGGCUGGGGUGGGGCGGAUCGGUGUUGCUUGCCUGCAGAGAGGGUGGGGAGUGAAUGUGCACCCUUGGGUGGGCCUGCAGCCAUCCAGCUGAAAGUUACAAAAAUGCUUCAUGGACCGUGGUUUGUUACUAUAGUGUUCCUCAUGGCGAGCAGAUGGAACCGGGAGACAUGGAGUCCCUGGCCAGUGUGAGUCCUAGCAUUGCAGGAGGGGAGACCCUGGAGGAGAGAGCCCGCCUCAAUUGAUGCCUGCAGAUUGAAUUUCCAGAGGCUUAGGAGGAGGAAGUUCUCCAAUGUUCUGUUUCCAGGCCUUGCUCAGGAAGCCCUGUAUUCAGGAGGCUACCAUUUAAAGUUUGCAGAUGAGCUUAUGGGGGGCAAUCUUAAAAAGUCCACAGCAGAUGCAUCCGGCUCGAGGGGCCAUCAGCUUUGAAUAAAUGCUUGUUCCAGAGCCCAUGAAUGCCAGCAGGCACCCCUCCUUUCCUGGGGUAAAGGUUUUCAGAUGCUGCAUCUUCUAAAUUGAGCCUCCGGUCAUACUAGUUUUGUGCUUGGAACCUUGCUUCAAGAAGAUCCCUAAGCUGUAGAACAUUUUAACGUUGAUGCCACAACGCAGAUUGAUGCCUUGUAGAUGGAGCUUGCAGAUGGAGCCCCGUGACCUCUCACCUACCCACCUGUUUGCCUGCCUUCUUGUGCGUUUCUCGGAGAAGUUCUUAGCCUGAUGAAAUAACUUGGGGCGUUGAAGAGCUGUUUAAUUUUAAAUGCCUUAGACUGGGGAUAUAUUAGAGGAAGCAGAUUGUCAAAUUAAGGGUGUCAUUGUGUUGUGCUAAACGCUGGGAGGGUACAAGUUGGUCAUUCCUAAAUCUGUGUGUGAGAAAUGGCAGGUCUAGUUUGGGCAUUGUGAUUGCAUUGCAGAUUACUAGGAGAAGGGAAUGGUGGGUACACCGGUAGUGCUCUUUUGUUCUUGCUUCGUUUUUUUAAACUUGAACUUUACUUCGUUAGAUUUCAUAAUACUUUCUUGGCAUUCUAGUAAGAGGACCCUGAGGUGGGAGUUGUGGGGGACGGGGAGAAGGGGACAGCUUGGCACCGGUCCCGUGGGCGUUGCAGUGUGGGGGAUGGGGGUAUGCAGCUUGGCACUGGUACUGGGAGGGAUGAGGGUGAAGAAGGGGAGAGGGUUGGUUAGAGAUACAGUGUGGGUGGUGGGGGUGGUAGGAAAUGCAGGUUGAAGGGAAUUCUCUGGGGCUUUGGGGAAUUUAGUGCGUGGGUGAGCCAAGAAAAUACUAAUUAAUAAUAGUAAGUUGUUAGUGUUGGUUAAGUUGUUGCUUGGAAGUGAGAAGUUGCUUAGAAACUUUCCAAAGUGCUUAGAACUUUAAGUGCAAACAGACAAACUAACAAACAAAAAUUGUUUUGCUUUGCUACAAGGUGGGGAAGACUGAAGAAGUGUUAACUGAAAACAGGUGACACAGAGUCACCAGUUUUCCGAGAACCAAAGGGAGGGGUGUGUGAUGCCAUCUCACAGGCAGGGGAAAUGUCUUUACCAGCUUCCUCCUGGUGGCCAAGACAGCCUGUUUCAGAGGGUUGUUUUGUUUGGGGUGUGGGUGUUAUCAAGUGAAUUAGUCACUUGAAAGAUGGGCGUCAGACUUGCAUACGCAGCAGAUCAGCAUCCUUCGCUGCCCCUUAGCAACUUAGGUGGUUGAUUUGAAACUGUGAAGGUGUGAUUUUUUCAGGAGCUGGAAGUCUUAGAAAAGCCUUGUAAAUGCCUAUAUUGUGGGCUUUUAACGUAUUUAAGGGACCACUUAAGACGAGAUUAGAUGGGCUCUUCUGGAUUUGUUCCUCAUUUGUCACAGGUGUCUUGUGAUUGAAAAUCAUGAGCGAAGUGAAAUUGCAUUGAAUUUCAAGGGAAUUUAGUAUGUAAAUCGUGCCUUAGAAACACAUCUGUUGUCUUUUCUGUGUUUGGUCGAUAUUAAUAAUGGCAAAAUUUUUGCCUAUCUAGUAUCUUCAAAUUGUAGUCUUUGUAACAACCAAAUAACCUUUUGUGGUCACUGUAAAAUUAAUAUUUGGUAGACAGAAUCCAUGUACCUUUGCUAAGGUUAGAAUGAAUAAUUUAUUGUAUUUUUAAUUUGAAUGUUUGUGCUUUUUAAAUGAGCCAAGACUAGAGGGGAAACUAUCACCUAAAAUCAGUUUGGAAAACAAGACCUAAAAAGGGAAGGGGAUGGGGAUUGUGGGGAGAGAGUGGGCGAGGUGCCUUUACUACAUGUGUGAUCUGAAAACCCUGCUUGGUUCUGAGCUGCGUCUAUUGAAUUGGUAAAGUAAUACCAAUGGCUUUUUAUCAUUUCCUUCUUCCCUUUAAGUUUCACUUGAAAUUUUAAAAAUCAUGGUUAUUUUUAUCGUUGGGAUCUUUCUGUCUUCUGGGUUCCAUUUUUUAAAUGUUUAAAAAUAUGUUGACAUGGUAGUUCAGUUCUUAACCAAUGACUUGGGGAUGAUGCAAACAAUUACUGUCGUUGGGAUUUAGAGUGUAUUAGUCACGCAUGUAUGGGGAAGUAGUCUCGGGUAUGCUGUUGUGAAAUUGAAACUGUAAAAGUAGAUGGUUGAAAGUACUGGUAUGUUGCUCUGUAUGGUAAGAACUAAUUCUGUUACGUCAUGUACAUAAUUACUAAUCACUUUUCUUCCCCUUUACAGCACAAAUAAAGUUUGAGUUCUAAACU
rnacentral:lncRNA from 1 species